ACGAACGCUGGCGGCGUGCUUAACCCAUGCAAGUCGAACGGAAAGGCCCUGCUUUUGUGGGGUGCUCGAGUGGCGAACGGGUGAGUAACACGUGAGUAACCUGCCCUUGACUUUGGGAUAACUUCAGGAAACUGGGGCUAAUACCGGAUAGGAGCUCCUGCUGCAUGGUGGGGGUUGGAAAGUUUCGGCGGUUGGGGAUGGACUCGCGGCUUAUCAGCUUGUUGGUGGGGUAGUGGCUUACCAAGGCUUUGACGGGUAGCCGGCCUGAGAGGGUGACCGGCCACAUUGCGACUGAGAUACGGCCCAGACUCCUACGGGAGGCAGCAGUGGGGAAUAUUGCACAAUGGGCGGAAGCCUGAUGCAGCAACGCCGCGUGCGGGAUGACGGCCUUCGGGUUGUAAACCGCUUUCGCCUGUGACGAAGCGUGAGUGACGGUAAUGGGUAAAGAAGCACCGGCUAACUACGUG
rnacentral:rRNA from 1 species